CUCAGAGCGAACGCUGGCGGCAUGCUUAGCACAUGCAAGUCGCGCGAUCGUGGGGAGACCUGCGGGAGCGGCGGACGGGUGAGUAACGCGUAGGUAUCUAUCCUUGGGUGGGGGACAACCGCGGGAAACUGCGGCUAAUACCGCAUGACGACUGAGGUCCAAAGGCCGUGAGGUCGCCUGGGGAGGAGCCUGCGUACGAUUAGCUUGUUGGUGGGGUAACGGCCUACCAAGGCGAUGAUCGUUAGCUGGUCUGAGAGGAUGAUCAGCCACACUGGGACUGAGACACGGCCCAGACUCCUACGGGAGGCAGCAGUGGGGAAUAUUGGACAAUGGGCGCAAGCCUGAUCCAGCAAUGCCGCGUGUGUGAAGAAGGUCUUCGGAUUGUAAAGCACUUUCGGCGGGGACGAUGAUGACGGUACCCGCAGAAGAAGCCCCGGCUAACUUCGUGCCAGCAGCCGCGGUAAUACGAAGGGGGCUAGCGUUGCUCGGAAUGACUGGGCGUAAAGGGCGCGUAGGCGGAUGGUACAGUCAGGCGUGAAAUUCCUGGGCUCAACCUGGGGGCUGCGUUUGAUACGUGCUGUCUGGAGUUCGGAAGAGGGUCGUGGAAUUCCCAGUGUAGAGGUGAAAUUCGUAGAUAUUGGGAAGAACACCGGUGGCGAAGGCGGCGACCUGGUCCUGGACUGACGCUGAGGCGCGAAAGCGUGGGGAGCAAACAGGAUUAGAUACCCUGGUAGUCCACGCUGUAAACGAUGUGUGCUGGAUGUUGGGUGACCUAGUCACGCAGUGUCGUAGCUAACGCGAUAAGCACACCGCCUGGGGAGUACGGCCGCAAGGUUG
rnacentral:rRNA from 1 species